AGCAAUCCCCCCUAGAGCGGCGGACUGGUGAGUAACACGUGGGUGACCUGCCUUUGUCUUGGGGAUAGCCAUUAGAAAUAGUGGGUAAUACCGAAUACGCUUGCACACGUAGAGGUGUGUAAGGAAAGGCGCUACGGCGCCGGACGAAGAUGGGCCCGCGUCCCAUUAGCUAGUUGGUGAGGUAACGGCUCACCAAGGCGAUGAUGGGUAGGCGGCCUGAGAGGGUGUACGCCCACAUUGGGACUGAGAUACGGCCCAAACUCCUACGGGAGGCAGCAGCUAAGAAUAUUCCGCAAUGGACGAAAGUCUGACGGAGCGACGCCGCGUGGAUGACGAAGGCCGAAAGGUUGUAAAAUCCUUUUGCUGGGGAAGAAUAAGCAUGGGAGGGAAUGCCCGUGUGAUGACAUGAACCGGCGAAUAA
rnacentral:rRNA from 1 species